AGUGAACGCUGGCGGUAGGCCUAACACAUGCAAGUCGAACGGCAGCACAGUAAGAGCUUGCUCUUACGGGUGGCGAGUGGCGGACGGGUGAGGAAUACAUCGGAAUCUACUUUUUCGUGGGGGAUAACGUAGGGUAACUUACGCUAAUACCGCAUACGACCUACGGGUGAAAGCAGGGGAUCUUCGGACCUUGCGCGAUUGAAUGAGCCGAUGUCGGAUUAGCUAGUUGGCGGGGUAAAGGCCCACCAAGGCGACGAUCCGUAGCUGGUCUGAGAGGAUGAUCAGCCACACUGGAACUGAGACACGGUCCAGACUCCUAAGGGAGGCAGCAGUGGGGAAUAUUGGACAAUGGGCGCAAGCCUGAUCCAGCCAUACCGCGUGGGUGAAGAAGGCCUUCGGGUUGUAAAGCCCUUUUGUUGGGAAAGAAAAGCAGCAGGUUAAUACCCCGCUGUUCUGACGGUACCCAAAGAAUAAGCACCGGCUAACUUCGUG
rnacentral:rRNA from 1 species